AUACGGAGGGUGCAAGCGUUGUUCGGAAUUACUGGGCGUAAAGCGCGUGUAGGCGGCUUCGCAAGUCGGAUGUGAAAUCCCAGGGCCCAACCCUGGAACUGCAUCCGAUACUACGGAGCUAGAGUCCUGGAGAGGAUGGCGGAAUUCCGGGUGUAGAGGUGAAAUUCGUAGAUAUCCGGAGGAACACCAGUGGCGAAGGCGGCCAUCUGGACAGUGACUGACGCUGAGACGCGAAAGCGUGGGGAGCAAACAGGAUUAGAAACCCCAGUAGUCC
rnacentral:rRNA from 1 species